AUGCAUGUACACUAGCCUCACACUGUUUUCCAAUAGGAAAGCAUUGGAUUGGCUGAGAUCAUGUACUCCAAUUAUCUCAGCCUAAGAGGUGGAACUUUCCCAUGGAGAAGAGCAGAAGCGCCUGAAAGGUAAGUUAAAAAAAAGUAAGUUGAAUGAAUGACUAUUGUGGCAAACAUAGCCACUUGGACACUAUAAAGAGACUGUGCCUUUAAGGGUUGCCUGUAUGGUUGUGGGAUAUGUGCUUAACUAUGUAGAAUGUAUGCUGGUUGUAAUUAACUUGUAUUUGCUGUAUG